GGAACCGCGGUGCCGGCGGCCGCCGUAAGACGAAGGGUGCUGGCGUGGGGCGGAAUGACUGGGCGUAAAGGGCGCGUAGGCGGCUGGUCAAGUCAGGGGUGAAAUCCUUGGGCGCAACCCAAGAACUGCCUGUGAAACUGUAAAGGUGGAGUGGCGGAGGGGAUAGCGGAAUGCCUAAUGGAGUGGUGAAAUACGUAGAUAUGAGGAGGAACACCGGUGGCGAAGGCGGCUAUCUGGACGACAACUGACGCUGAGGCGCGAAAGCGCGGGGAUCAAACAGGAUUAGAUACCCGAGUAGUC
rnacentral:rRNA from 1 species